ACACGCAUGGAAUGGAAAGGAGAAAGCUCACUUUCUCUCUCUAAAUUUCUCCCAAAAUAGAGGGAAUUGAUGGAGAUUAAAGCUUCAAGGUGAAUUUUCAUCUUCAUCAUUAUCUUCCUCUCCAUUGGAGCUUGCUUGAGAGGUAAGCUUCAAAACCCUUUAAUGGUAGAACUCUAAGGAUUGAUCCUUAUACUCUAAAAAUGAUUUUAAUGGAAUCUUAGCAUGCUAAAUAGAAGAUAAAUGCUAGAAUCUAGGAUUAAUUUAGUUAAUUCUUGCCUAGUUAUAAACCUAGGGCUCAAAAUGCAAUUUUUGGAAAUAUAAGGGUUUGAUCUCAUUUGACCCUCCGUAAACCUAAUUGAUAGGUCACUGAACGCGUUGGAAGCGACGGUUCGGCGUUGGAAGCGACGGUUCGGCGAUUCGUCGAGCCGGUGCAAAGUUAUUAAAGAAACGGACGUUUAGGCUUCGUUUCCGCUUGGAGAGCCGAGGCGACGUCGUAAAAUCCUGGAAACGAAUUUGAAGCAUCGUGACAAGAAACCGAAGACCUUUAAUUUACGGAUCGCAAAUCGGUGGUCAUUUGACGGUCGCUUGUGAGUGGGGUCGAGCCGUGCGGCGUGCGCCGCGGGAGGCCGAUUGCGAGUGACGACGAGCAAUCGGAACGCGAUAAAAGGUGGGUGGUGUCCAUCCCGAAGCAACCGGACUUCCUUCUAUGUCUAAGUUUUAUAUUGAUCAAAUUGCAUAUUGACAUCUUGCAUUAUAGGGUGAUAAAUGAUGGUUUGGUCCUAUACCUUGCAUGUUCUUUGGUAGAAUAAUGUAUUUGGCUUA
rnacentral:lncRNA from 1 species